rnacentral:tmRNA from 1 species
AGGCUUCCCUUUACUCUAAAUCCUUGGUAUAGUGUGAUGUCAGCUUCGGUUGGCUAUGGCGAUAAACACCUUACGCAAUAGGUGAAACGGACCCGGGGGCGGUACCCGGCGCCUCCACCAAAAAUUUAAAUUUUAAAAGUUGUGAAAAACAUCAGAUUUUUCUCUCUUUGAUCUCUUAACUUCUAUGGGGGCGAAACAGGAUCGACGUGCAUUGAAAGGUUUGGUUUUCGCUCGGCAUUGUUCCGUCGUUAUAGGGCUAUAAACAUAAGUGCAAACAAUAAUUCGUUUGCCGCAAAUGACAAUGUCAGGAUUAUCGGCGCGACUGCUGCCGCUGCCUGACGUAUCAUAAGCGCGGUUAGAGGGGCACCGGGCAACAGAAGCCCCUCGCA